rnacentral:rRNA from 1 species
UUGGUGACCAGCGGAGGGAUCAUUACCGAGUUUACAACUCCCAAACCCAAUGUGAACGUUACCAAACUGUUGCCUCGGCGGGAUCUCUGCCCCGGGUGCGUCGCAGCCCCGGACCAAGGCGCCCGCCGGAGGACCAACCAAAACUCUUAUUGUAUACCCCCUCGCGGGUUUUUUUAUAAUCUGAGCCUUCUCGGCGCCUCUCGUAGGCGUUUCGAAAAUGAAUCAAAACUUUCAACAACGGAUCUCUUGGUUCUGGCAUCGAUGAAGAACGCAGCGAAAUGCGAUAAGUAAUGUGAAUUGCAGAAUUCAGUGAAUCAUCGAAUCUUUGAACGCACAUUGCGCCCGCCAGUAUUCUGGCGGGCAUGCCUGUCCGAGCGUCAUUUCAACCCUCGAACCCCUCCGGGGGGUCGGCGUUGGGGAUCGGCCCUGCCUUAGCGGGUGGCCGUCUCCGAAAUACAGUGGCGGUCUCGCCGCAGCCUCUCCUGCGCAGUAGUUUGCACACUCGCAUCGGGAGCGCGGCGCGUCCACAGCCGUUAAACACCCAACUUCUGAAAUGUUGACCUCGGAUCAGGUAGGAAUACCCGCUGAACUUAAGCAUAUCAAUAAGCGGA